rnacentral:rRNA from 1 species
CAGUCCCAGUGUGGCUGAUCAUCCUCUCAAACCAGGUAUGGAUCGUCGCCUUGGUGAGCCUUUACCCCACCAACUACGUAAUCCAACGCGGCCCCAUCCUUCUCCGAUAAAUCUUUCCCCCAAAGGGCGUAUACGGUAUUACCCCCAGUUUCCCAGGACUAUUCCGCAGAGAAGGGCACGUUCCCACGCGAUACUCACCCGUCCGCCGCUCACCCGAAGGUGCGCUCGACUUGUAUGUGUUAGGCCUGCCGCCACCGUUCGUACUGAGCCAUGAUCGAACUCAUCGAUCGACUUGCAUGUGUUAGGCCUACCGCCAG